UACGUAGGGUGCGAGCGUUAAUCGGAAUACUGGGCGUAAAGCGUGCGCAGGCGGUUCGUUGUGUCGGCGGUGAAAGCCCCGGGCUUAACCUGGGAAUGGCCGUUGAAACUGGCGAACUGGAGUGUGGCAGAGGGGGGGUGGAAUUCCGCGUGUAGCAGUGAAAUGCGUAGAGAUGCGGAGGAACACCGAUGGCGAAGGCAGCCCCCUGGGCUAACACUGACGCUCAGGCACGAAAGCGUGGGGAGCAAACAGG
rnacentral:rRNA from 1 species